CAGUAUUUUAACUACCCGUUCAAAGCUGUUGUAAUUGACAUGGUUUGUUUUACCCAUAUAUUACCGCGGGUGAACAUAGAGCGUGGGCAUUUUUCAUGCAGUGUAUUUGUUUGCAUUAAAGAAUAUCUCAAGAAAUGGAUGUUCAUUUGCUUAAUGGAUAAAAUGUCUAUGUCAAAGUAGCAAUAACUCUUAUGGUUAAUAAUGAAAAAAGAAUUCAUGAAGCUAUUACGGAAGUUGUUAUGAGUUUGCAAACUUCAUAGCAUUAAGUACUAAUUGCCAUUUCGAUUCUAUCAUACAAGAAUGCGAUGAUGGUUUCUUUGGUCCAUCCUGUGCUCCCUGUUCUAUUGGUUGUACCGAUCCUGUAUGUAACAGAACUUCCGGAUAUUGUAGUUGUAAAGAUGGUUACCAUGGGAAUGACUGCAGUCAGAUGUGUCCAACUGAGUGUAAAGGAAACACGUGUGUUCAAGUAACUGGGUCCUGUACAGGUUGUGAUCAAGGAUUUUAUGGCAAUGCAUGUCUUCAUCGGUGUCCGGUCAAUUGUGGAACAAACACGUGUUUUCAGUACAGUGGAUUUUGUACAGUUUGCGAACCUGGAUUCUAUGGUGACAUAUGUGACAAGGCCUGUCCACUCAGAAUCUGUAAAGACAGCAUAUGUAACCAGACUGAUGGUCAAUGUACUGGUAUGUAAAAAUGAAAACAUAUAGCGAAAUCCCAUUUCUUGUUUUGCUUCUAAUUCAUGUUUAUCUGAUAUUUUAACUUUACUACUUGACCUGGGUCUGUGCUUGAGUCCGAUAUGUUACAAGUUUUGUUUUUGCACAUGGACAAUUUAAAAUGUUCUUUUUAAUUAAGAUCAAAUUUUUAACACCACCUUUACAUGUAACCGUUAAACGUAGCUGUUUUAAAAGUCGUGCUUAG